rnacentral:rRNA from 1 species
UGCCAGCAGCCGCGGUAAUACGAAGGUCCCAAGCGUUGUUCGGAAUCACUGGGCGUAAAGCGUGUGUAGGCUGCGCGGAAAGUCAAAUGUGAAAGCCCGGGGCUCAACCUCGGAACUGCAUUCGAUACUCCCGUGCUAGAGCAAUGGAGAGGUAAGUGGAAUUCCUGGUGUAGCAGUGAAAUGCGUGGAUAUCAGGAGGAACAUCAAUGGCGAAGGCGGCCUCCUGGAUCUGUACUGACACUGAGGUGCGAAAGCGUGGGUAGCGAACAGGAUUAGAUA